rnacentral:siRNA from 1 species
CCGACCAAAUAUUUCGACGG